rnacentral:rRNA from 1 species
CUACGGAGGGUGCGAGCGUUAAUCGGAAUUACUGGGCGUAAAGCGUACGUAGGCGGUUGGUUAAGUUAGAUGUGAAAGCCCCGGGCUUAACCUGGGAACUGCAUUUAAAACUGGCGAACUAGAGUUGAGUAGAGGGGAGUGGAAUUUCAGGUGUAGCGGUGAAAUGCGUAGAGAUCUGAAGGAACACCAGUGGCGAAGGCGACUCCCUGGACUCGAACUGACGCUGAGGUACGAAAGCGUGGGUAGCAAACGGGAUUAGAUACCCCAGUAGUCC